UUUGUCUGAAUGCUGUCUGAUUCGUCUGAACACUGUCUGAUUUGUCUGUACACUUUGUGAUUCGUCUGAACACUUUGUGAUUCUUCUGAACACUGUCUGAUUCAUCUGAACACUUUGUGAUUCUUCUGAACACUGUCUGAUUCGUCUGAACACUUUGUGAUUCUUCUGAACACUGUCUGAUUGGUCUGUACACUUUGUGAUUCGUCUGAACACUGUCUAAUUCGUCUGUACACUUUGUGAUUCGUCUGAACACUGUGAUUCGUCUGAACACUUUGUGAUUCGUCUGAACACUGUCUAAUUCGUCUGUACACUUUGUGAUUCGUCUGAACACUGUGAUUCGUCUGAACACUUUGUGAUUCGUCUGAACACUGUCUGAUUCGUCUGUACACUUUGUGAUUCGUCUGAACACUUUGUGAUUUGUCUGAACACUUUUUUAUUCGUCUGAACGCUGUCUGAUUCGUCUGAACGCUGUCUGAUUUGUCUGAAUGCUGUCUGAUUCGUCUGAACACUUUGUGAUUCUUCUAAAAAAAAUCAUUUUGUUUAGAGCAGAAACAUUCCUCUCUCUAUAUCCUGCCUCACACUCCAGGUUAAAGCAAACUUCACUAAUCACUCAUCGUCUCUACAGACUUUCUCAGGACACUGAUAUAAACUCCACCCCCAACAGUUCCUGCUCUGUAGAACACCGGUACUAAAGUCUCCUGUACAUUAGGACUCUUUUAGACACACAUUUAACCCUGAGGAUAAAAGUUCCUCAGGUUUUAUUGGAAAAAAAUUCCUGGGUUCUUGUAAAGGUUCCUUCAGUGGAAGGAAUGUGGUGUAGCUCAUGGAAGGCCAGGAUGAAGUGGAGUUUAUCUUCUUCUACAGCACGGUCUCAAUCCCAACACCUCAUGCUGGGAAUUUGCAGGUGUACCUUGGGGACAGUGUGGGACCUCGCUGGCCUCGGGCUGGUUGUGUGCAUAGCUUGACCUUGAUGGGAUGUUUGCUGGAUUUCGGGGUAUGAUGGAAUAUCGGGGUCAGGAAAUGUUCUCAGAACUCAGUCCAAGAUAAAGUGCUGAAGAUACUAAGGUGACUGAAAUAACUGCUGCUGAUGUGAAGGAAAAGGUGUGGAAAAACCUCAUCAAACUGCAGGAGCAGGAUCUCUCCUGUAACCCUGAUUUUCAUUAAGCAUCAGGAGAUCCUUCUCCAUCCAUUUAGUAUCCUCAUCAUCUUCAUCAUCUUCAUCCCUUUCACACAUAAAGCUGUAUGUUAAUUUGUGUAAUUGAGAUGUAAAGAAUAUUCCACUCCGAAUUAAAUAUCUGAACAUCA